CCUACGGGCGGCAGCAGUCGAGAAUCAUUCACAAUGGGGGAAACCCUGAUGGUGCGACGCCGCGUGGGGGAAUGAAGGUCUUCGGAUUGUAAACCCCUGUCAUGUGGGAGCAAAUUAAAAAGAUAGUACCACACGAGUAAGAGACGGCUAACUCUGUGCCAGCAGCCGCGGUAAUACAGAGGUCUCAAGCGUUGUUCGGAAUCACUGGGGGUAAAGCGUGCGGAGGCUGUUUCGUAAGUCGUGUGUGAAUGGCGCGGGCUCAACCCGCGGACGGCACAUGAUACUGCGAGACUAGAGUAAUGGAGGGGGAACCGGAAGUCUCGGUGUAGCAGUGAAAUGCGUAGAUAUCGGGAGGAACACUCGUGGCGAAGGCGGGUUCCUGGACAUUAACUGACGCUGAGGCACGAAGGCCAGGGGAGCGAAAGGGAUUAGAUACCCGUGUAGUC
rnacentral:rRNA from 1 species